CUCUGCUAUUUACAGCGAGGAAGAGAGAUUCCUGCAGCAACUGAGGCCUAACAGCAGAAGGAGCUGCAUUUUCACUGGGGGACCAUGGACCAUCAGAAGGGGCUGCUUCGAUGUGCCUAACGUGUUCUCCAAGAUGGACCACAGCUGCUUUUAGCUGAUUUCCAAACAUAAAGCAGAAAACUUAAACCCGGGCCGAUCCCACGUGGGCCGGGCGCCGGCAGAGGCCUGCGGUGUCGGCCCCGGUCCCCCCCCCCCCCCAGGAACAGCAGCGUGGGGUUCAGAGUCCAGUCUCGCACACGGGAGUCUGCAGCACGAUGCCACUGUGCGCCCCUGGGUGGCACGGGCCCUCCUGGGCCUCGAUGAGGACACUGAUGUCAGCCUGGGGGCGACCCUGUGAGUCCAGGCCUCCAAGCGCCUCCGUGCCUGGUACUCACACAAGUGGCUGUCGUUACUGAUAAGUGAAAGGGGGGCUGUGCCCUGGGUGGCAAACAAGUGCCCAAGUCCUGAAGCGCUGCAGGAGUCAGAGGGUGGAGCUGCUGCUAAGCUGAGGAGGAAGCAGAACUUGGCACCGAGUGGUUAGAUCAGCGGCAGCACUCCCAGUUGAACUGGACUUUCAGAUGCGGUUGCUGGGCAACUCACCAGAGCACCAGGGCCCCCUUACACUUUACAGAUGAGGGAGCUCAGACGCGAGACUGCAGCCCCCACGGGGAUCGAGCUCACAACCCGGGCAGGUGCCUUGACCGUGAAUCGCAGCAGCCACCUUCCUGCACAGGACGACGCCCAGCCGCGUCCCACCGGCCGGGAGUGUGCGAUUUCUGUUUGAGAGCUUGUUGAUCUGAACACACAGCUGGGCUCUCAGAUGGCCACGCCCUUGACCAUGCCCAUUACACAGGCUGCAUUUCGGAGGCCUCUGAAUUAUUCAUAAGAAUCAAGUGUUCCUUCCACGCUCAGCUUUGAGAGCCACCAGACCCGUCCCAGAGACCACCACAGGGCGUCGUUCCUGGAGUGCCACCGCCCUCCAUCAAUUGGGUGCCAGGAAUUUUCACAAGAAAGACACACUUCCCACAGCCCACCUCGCCCCCUGCAAAUGCUCCCCAAACAAAGGACUUCCUCACCAGACAGACAUUAGGUCUAUCACGUAUAUAUCAGCACUGCAAUAAAAUAAAGCCACGUGUCCUUCAAAUUAUAUUUUCAAUUUCAUUAAUUCUAAAUCCAGUGCAAUUAUGUCUAGACUCUGAGGCAAAGUUCAAAAACUAUAAAAUAAAAUAAAAAAAUA